rnacentral:misc_RNA from 1 species
UCUCCGUAGGUGAACCUGCGGAGGGAUCAUUACCGAGUGAGGGCUUCGGUCCGACAUCCAACCCUUUGUGAACCAAACUUGUUGCUUCGGGGGCGACCCUGCCGCUUCGGCGGUGCGGAGCCUCCGGAGGCCAUUAAACACUGCAUCAUUGCGGCGGAGUUAAAGUAAAUUAAACAAAACUUUCAACAACGGAUCUCUUGGUUCCAGCAUCGAUGAAGAACGCAGC